rnacentral:rRNA from 1 species
UACGUAGGUGGCAAGCGUUGUCCGGAAUUAUUGGGCGUAAAGCGCGCGCAGGCGGUUUCUUAAGUCUGAUGUGAAAGCCACCGGCUCAACCGGGGAGGGUCAUUGGAAACUGGGAGACUUGAGUGCAGAAGAGGAGAGUGGAAUUCCAUGUGUAGCGGUGAAAUGCGUAGAUAUAUGGAGGAACACCAGUGGCGAAGGCGGCUCUCUGGUCUGUAACUGACGCUGAGGCGCGAAAGCGUGGGGAGCAAACAGG